UUGGAAUUAAAAGUCGUAACAAGGUCUCCGUUGGUGAACCAGCCGAGGGAUCAUUA
rnacentral:rRNA from 1 species